CACCUCUUCCCAUUCCGAACAGAGAAGUUAAACCUUAUCACGCCGAUGGUACUGCGAAAGCGGGAGAGUAGGUAAUCGCCCCCU
rnacentral:rRNA from 1 species